AAGUCGAGCGGCAGCACGGGUACUUGUACUGGUGGCGAGCGCGGACGGGUGAGUAAUGCCUAGGAAUCUGCUGGUAGUGGGGGAUAACGCUCGGAAACGGACGCUAAUACCGCAUACGUCUACGGGAGAAAGCAGGGGACCUUCGGGCCUUGCGCUAUCAGAUGAGCCUAGGUCGGAUUAGCUAGUUGGUGAGGUAAUGGCUCACCAAGGCGACGAUCCGUAACUGGUCUGAGAGGAUGAUCAGUCACACUGGAACUGAGACACGGUCCAGACUCCUACGGGAGGCAGCAGUGGGGAAUAUUGGACAAUGGGCGAAAGCCUGAUCCAGCCAUGCCGCGUGUGUGAAGAAGGUCUUCGGAUUGUAAAGCACUUUAAGUUGGGAGGAAGGGCAGUUACCUAAUACGUAAUUGUUUUGACGUUACCGACAGAAUAAGCACCGGCUAACUCUGUGCCAGCAGCCGCGGUAAUACAGAGGGUGCAAGCGUUAAUCGGAAUUACUGGGCGUAAAGCGCGCGUAGGUGGUUCGUUAAGUUGGAUGUGAAAUCCCCGGGCUCAACCUGGGAACUGCAUCCAAAACUGGCGAGCUAGAGUAUGGUAGAGGGUGGUGGAAUUUCCUGUGUAGCGGUGAAAUGCGUAGAUAUAGGAAGGAACACCAGUGGCGAAGGCGACCACCUGGACUGAUACUGACACUGAGGUGCGAAAGCGUGGGGAGCAACAGGAUUAGAUACCCUGGUAGUCCACGCCGUAAACGAUGUCAACUAGCC
rnacentral:rRNA from 1 species